rnacentral:rRNA from 1 species
AUCCAGACUCCUACGGGAGGCAGCAGUGGGGAAUAUUGCACAAUGGGGGGAACCCUGAUGCAGCGACGCCGCGUGGGUGAAGGAGUAUUUCGGUAUGUAAAGCCCUAUCAGCAGGGAAGAACAAUGACGGUACCUGACUAAGAAGCACCGGCUAAAUACGUGCCAGCAGCCGCGGUAAUACGUAUGGUGCAAGCGUUAUCCGGAUUCACUGGGUGUAAAGGGAGCGUAGACGGCCAUGCAAGCCAGGGGUGAAAGCCCGGGGCCCAACCCCGGGACUGCCCUUGGAACUGCAUGGCUGGAGUGCGGGAGGGGCAGGCGGAAUUCCUGGUGUAGCGGUGAAAUGCGUAGAUAUCAGGAGGAACACCGGCGGCGAAGGCGGCCUGCUGGACCGCGACUGACGUUGAGGCUCGAAAGCGUGGGGAGCGAACAGGAUUAGAUACCCGUGUAUG